AUAGCGUAUAUUCAAGUUGUUGCAGUUCAAAAGCUCGUAGUUGCACUUCCGGCCUGGUUGUUCGGUCCGCCUCACGGCGUGUUUACUGUAUCGACUGGGCCUUCCUUUCUUGGUGAGCUCUGCAUGCCCUUUAUUGGGUGUGUGGAUGUCUGGCCAGGACUUUUACUUUGAAAAAAUUAGAGUGUUCAAAGCAGGCCUAUGCCCGAAUAUAUUAGCAUGGAAUAAUAGAAUAGGACGUUGCGGUCCUAUUUUGUUGGUUUCUAGGAUCGCCGUAAUGAUUAAUAGGGAUAGUCGGGGGCAUUAGUAUUCACAUGCUAGAGGUGAAAUUCUUGGAUUUUGUGAAGACUAACUUCUG
rnacentral:rRNA from 1 species